rnacentral:rRNA from 1 species
UAAGCCUGCGAAGGUGUACUGUGAGGUAUGCUGGAGGUAUCAGAAGUGCGAAUGCUGACAUAAGUAACGAUAAUGCGGGUGAAAAACCCGCACGCCGGAAGACCAAGGGUUCCUGUCCAACGUUAAUCGGGGCAGGGUGAGUCGACCCCUAAGGCGAGGCUGAAAAGCGUAGUCGAUGGGAAACGGGUUAAUAUUCCCGUACUGGUGGUAACUGCGAUGGGGGAACGGAGAAGGCUAGGUUGUCCGGGCGACGGUCGUCCCGGUUCAAGCAGGUAGGCAGAGUGAUUAGGCAAAUCCGGUCACUUAAUGCUGAGAUGUGAUGACGAACCACCAAGGUGGUGAAGCAAUUGAUGCCCCGCUUCCAGGAAAAGCCUCUAAGCUUCAGGUUACCAACAAUCGUACCCCAAACCGACACAGGUGGUCAGGUAGAGAAUACUCAGGCGCUUGAGAGAACUCGGGUGAAGGAACUAGGCAAAAUGGUGCCGUAACUUCGGGAGAAGGCACGCUGGCGGUAGGUAAAGUCCCUCGCGGACGGCGCUGAAGCCAGUCGAAGAUACCAGCUGGCUGCAACUGUUUAUUAAAAACACAGCACUGUGCAAACACGAAAGUGGACGUAUACGGUGUGACGCCUGCCCGGUGCUGGAAGGUUAAUUGAUGGGGUCAGCCGUAAGGCGAAGCUCCUGAUCGAAGCCCCAGUAAACGGCGGCCGUAACUAUAACGGUCCUAAGGUAGCGAAAUUCCUUGUCGGGUAAGUUCCGACCUGCACGAAUGGCGUAAUGAUGGCCAGGCUGUCUCCACCCGAGACUCAGUGAAAUUGAACUCGCUGUGAAGAUGCAGUGUACCCGCGGCAAGACGGAAAGACCCCGUGAACCUUUACUAUAGCUUGACACUGAACAUUGAGCCUUGAUGUGUAGGAUAGGUGGGAGGCUUUGAAGUGUGGACGCCAGUCUGCAUGGAGCCAACCUUGAAAUACCACCCUUUAACGUUUGAUGUUCUAACCUAGGCCCAUAAACUGGGUCGGGGACCGUGUCUGGUGGGUAGUUUGACUGGGGCGGUCUCCUCCUAAAGAGUAACGGAGGAGCACGAAGGUUGGCUAAGCAUGGUCGGACAUCAUGCGGUUAGUGCAAAGGCAUAAGCCAGCUUGACUGCGAGAGUGACGGCUCGAGCAGGUACGAAAGUAGGUCUUAGUGAUCCGGUGGUUCUGAAUGGAAGGGCCAUCGCUCAACGGAUAAAAGGUACUCCGGGGAUAACAGGCUGAUACCGCCCAAGAGUUCAUAUCGACGGCGGUGUUUGGCACCUCGAUGUCGGCUCAUCACAUCCUGGGGCUGAAGUAGGUCCCAAGGGUAUGGCUGUUCGCCAUUUAAAGUGGUACGCGAGCUGGGUUUAGAACGUCGUGAGACAGUUCGGUCCCUAUCUGCCGUGGGCGUUGGAAGAUUGAGAGGGGUUGCUCCUAGUACGAGAGGACCGGAGUGAACGCACCACUGGUGUUCGGGUUGUCAUGCCAAUGGCAUUGCCCGGUAGCUAAGUGCGGAAGAGAUAACCGCUGAAAGCAUCUAAGCGGGAAACUUGCC